GAACGCUGGCGGCGUGCCUAAUACAUGCAAGUCGAACGAACUCUGGUAUUGAUUGGUGCUUGCAUCAUGAUUUACAUUUGAGUGAGUGGCGAACUGGUGAGUAACACGUGGGAAACCUGCCCAGAAGCGGGGGAUAACACCUGGAAACAGAUGCUAAUACCGCAUAACAACUUGGACCGCAUGGUCCGAGUUUGAAAGAUGGCUUCGGCUAUCACUUUUGGAUGGUCCCGCGGCGUAUUAGCUAGAUGGUGAGGUAACGGCUCACCAUGGCAAUGAUACGUAGCCGACCUGAGAGGGUAAUCGGCCACAUUGGGACUGAGACACGGCCCAAACUCCUACGGGAGGCAGCAGUAGGGAAUCUUCCACAAUGGACGAAAGUCUGAUGGAGCAACGCCGCGUGAGUGAAGAAGGGUUUCGGCUCGUAAAACUCUGUUGUUAAAGAAGAACAUAUCUGAGAGUAACUGUUCAGGUAUUGACGGUAUUUAACCAGAAAGCCACGGCUAACUACGUGCCAGCAGCCGCGGUAAUACGUAGGUGGCAAGCGUUGUCCGGAUUUAUUGGGCGUAAAGCGAGCGCAGGCGGUUUUUUAAGUCUGAUGUGAAAGCCUUCGGCUCAACCGAAGAAGUGCAUCGGAAACUGGGAAACUUGAGUGCAGAAGAGGACAGUGGAACUCCAUGUGUAGCGGUGAAAUGCGUAGAUAUAUGGAAGAACACCAGUGGCGAAGGCGGCUGUCUGGUCUGUAACUGACGCUGAGGCUCGAAAGUAUGGGUAGCAAACAGGAUUAGAUACCCUGGUAGUCCAUACCGUAAACGAUGAAUGCUAAGUGUUGGAGGGUUUCCGCCCUUCAGUGCUGCAGCUAACGCAUUAAGCAUUCCGCCUGGGGAGUACGGCCGCAAGGCUGAAACUCAAAGGAAUUGACGGGGGCCCGCACAAGCGGUGGAGCAUGUGGUUUAAUUCGAAGCUACGCGAAGAACCUUACCAGGUCUUGACAUACUAUGCAAAUCUAAGAGAUUAGACGUUCCCUUCGGGGACAUGGAUACAGGUGGUGCAUGGUUGUCGUCAGCUCGUGUCGUGAGAUGUUGGGUUAAGUCCCGCAACGAGCGCAACCCUUAUUAUCAGUUGCCAGCAUUAAGUUGGGCACUCUGGUGAGACUGCCGGUGACAAACCGGAGGAAGGUGGGGAUGACGUCAAAUCAUCAUGCCCCUUAUGACCUGGGCUACACACGUGCUACAAUGGAUGGUACAACGAGUUGCGAACUCGCGAGAGUAAGCUAAUCUCUUAAAGCCAUUCUCAGUUCGGAUUGUAGGCUGCAACUCGCCUACAUGAAGUCGGAAUCGCUAGUAAUCGCGGAUCAGCAUGCCGCGGUGAAUACGUUCCCGGGCCUUGUACACACCGCCCGUCACACCAUGAGAGUUUGUAACACCCAAAGUCGGUGGGGUAACCUUUUAGGAACCAGCCG
rnacentral:rRNA from 2 species